CCACGAAUAGUUUGUGAGCGUCACAUCUGUAUGGUUGCAUGUCAACAAUAGAAAAUCUUGAAAUCUUUGUAAUGGACGACGACUCGGUUAUAAACUGGACUUGGUAUAACCACCAACUGCAGUGGUUAUUGCAUAUGUACAAUAUAUACAAUAAGCAAAUUAUUAUUAUAUUGUACAGAAAAGGAAAGCUGCUGCAGUUGCAGCUACACUUUUACAUUUGAGAAAAAGUGGAAAAAAAAGAUAUUGUAAAAAGAAAUAUUGGAUAGCACCCAUUUUUCAAGAAAGGAAAGUGCAUGGAUUCUUUCAUGCUGUGCUACCUAAACUCGUUUUAGAAGAUUUGAGAUUUAAUAAUUACAUACGUAUGUCUGCAACUCAAUUUGAAAAGUUACAUUCUUAGUUGGAGCAGACAUAUUCGCUCCUUGCGAAUAUUCGCUACAAGCUGAAACUUUUCAGCGAACAGCGAUUACUCGCUAGCGAACAGCGAAUGAUCACGUGACCAUCAUUCGCGGCGAUUAUUUCGCCGCACGAAACGGCACCUUGAGGGUGCCGUUACAUGGAGCGUAACUUGCGUAAAGGCCCGUGUCCACGAUCCAAGAACUUUGUCAAAGUUCUAGUUCCGAGAAAUGUGUAGCCAAUGAACUUACAGUUUUUACAUAAAAGCUGCAUGUUGAUUGGCUACACAUUUCUCGGACCUAGAACUUUGACCAAGAACUUGGAUCGUGGACACAAGGCUUAAGCAUAACCUGCGUAACCUAGUGAGUAGCUAGAAUAGGCACACUGCGUAUUCUAGUAAAUUACUAGAAUGUACGCUAUUCUGAAAAUUCCAUUUUACAUGGCGCGUACUUUGCGUUAAAUGCGCAUAAAGCGUAACAAGCCUGACCAAUAACAGAUCAGGACUUCUGUUGUACAAUACAACAGAAAUAAAUCGAUUGGUUGUUAUUAUUUAAGCGUAUUGCUAAAUACGCGUCAUGUGAAAUAGAUACUUUGAUGUAAGAAUGUGUUGAAGCGUAAUAUAUGUGUGUAAUGUAUGUACGAGUAUGCGUGAAAUAACCUAAAUAAAGUAUACGGAGUGGUUGACUGGUUGACGACGCGUGUCUAGCACAAAAAACCUGGAAUCUCUUAAACAUGGAUUCUAAUUUCGUAUUAGCGGUUCUUGCCAACAAAUUAUACUUAUUGUUACGAUAUGGUUUUCAUCGAUGCUGAUGUGGUCUUCUCCUUCAACGUACUGCUUGAAGCACUUAUGAUCAAUAAAAUUUGUGGUGAAGCUAAAGAGCCACCCACAAUAUCCACAUUUAUGCUGUAUUUUAAAAGGGAAAUACAUAAGUGAAAAUGUAUAAGCUGCAGUAAGCUGUUGAAAAUAGUCCAGACAUGCAAAUGAAUAUACCAUAGUUAUCGGACAUAAAUUGAAAUUCUUUUGUCAUACUAUGCAACCGAUGUACUGAUUUAUAUCCAAGUAAUUAAAUGCAUUAUUUAAAC